AAGUCGUAACAAGGUUUCCGUAGGUGAACCUGCGGAAGGAUCAUUAACACUUUUUUUUUUUUCCUUUUCUUUCACGAGAAAUGGAAAAAUAAAUAUCCAACCCCACUUGAAUGAACUUUUUCAUUUUUCUCCUUUAUUAUAAUAAUAAUAAUGAUUGGAUUUCUUUCCAAUUUAUUAUUAUUAUGAUAUUCUUUUUUUUUACAACCCCAAUCUACCAAACAUGCGAUAGACUGAUAUGAAUUUAAUCAUACAAUUAAAAAAAUGGUUAAAACAACUCUUAGCAACGGAUAUCUUGGCUCUC
rnacentral:misc_RNA from 1 species